rnacentral:rRNA from 1 species
AACAAACGCUGGCGGCGUGCCUAAUACAUGCAAGUCGAACGGGGAAAGCUUUCGGGUGAGUACUAGUGGCGCACGGGUGAGUAACGCGUGGAUAAUCUGCCUUAGAGUGGGGGAUAACUAGUCGAAAGAUUAGCUAAUACCGCAUAAGACCACAAGAACUGCGGUUCAAGGGGUCAAAGGUUUUUCGCUCUAAGAUGAGUCCGCGUAAGAUUAGCUAGUUGGUAGGGUAACGGCCUACCAAGGCGACGAUCUUUAACUGGUCUGAGAGGAUGAUCAGUCACACUGGAACUGAGACACGGUCCAGACUCCUACGGGAGGCAGCAGUAGGGAAUAUUGCACAAUGGAGGAAACUCUGAUGCAGCGACGCCGCGUGAGUGACGAAGGCCUUCGGGUCGUAAAGCUCUGUCGCAGGGGAAUAACACAAUGAAGGUGCCCUGUAAGAAAGGAUCGGCUAACUUCGUGCCAGCAGCCGCCGUAAGAC